CCCUCUGUGGUGUAGUGGUAGCACGUGCCCUCGGUAUGGAGGUAACGUGGGUUCAAAUCCCUUCUGAGGUCAA